rnacentral:rRNA from 1 species
AAUGAACGCUGGCGGCAGGCUUAACACAUGCAAGUCGAGCGCCCCGCAAGGGGAGCGGCAGACGGGUGAGUAACGCGUGGGAAUCUACCCAUCUCUACGGAACAACUCCGGGAAACUGGAGCUAAUACCGUAUACGUCCUUCGGGAGAAAGAUUUAUCGGAGAUGGAUGAGCCCGCGUUGGAUUAGCUAGUUGGUGGGGUAAUGGCCUACCAAGGCGACGAUCCAUAGCUGGUCUGAGAGGAUGAUCAGCCACACUGGGACUGAGACACGGCCCAGACUCCUACGGGAGGCAGCAGUGGGGAAUAUUGGACAAUGGGCGAAAGCCUGAUCCAGCCAUACCGCGUGAGUGAUGAAGGCCCUAGGGUUGUAAAGCUCUUUCACCGGUGAAGAUAAUGACGGUAACCGGAGAAGAAGCCCCGGCUAACUUCGUGCCAGCAGCCGCCGUAAAAC